rnacentral:misc_RNA from 1 species
AACGCAUCUUGCGCUCUUUGGUAUUCCAAAGGGCAUGCCUGUUUGAGUGUCAUUAAAUUCUCAAAGUAAAGUUCCUUUGUAAGGGGCUUUGCUUUGGAUCUGAAGAUUGCUGGCUAUGUGUUGGUUAGCUUCUUUGAAAUGCAUGAGUAGGAUCAUGACUUGGUCUUGGUGUGAUAAGUUAUCUACGCCUUGAAACAAUAUUUGAACCUGCUUAUAACAAAAACUUACUUUUUGACCUUUGACCUCAAAUCAGGUAAGACUACCCGCUGAACUUAA